rnacentral:lncRNA from 1 species
CCUUACUUCCAUCCACAAGGCCUUAGAGUUAACUCUGCCACCUACAUUGAGUCCUGGAAAUGAUUGUUAAGCCCUAGAUAGACAGUGCAUGCAAUAGAAGGCCAUAUGUGUUUCAGUAAGACUCUGCACUAUUACACAGGAAUGGAUGGCUGAAAAUUUUAACGAUCACAUAACCCCUAACAUUUGGCCUCCUAAUUUGCCAGAUCUCAAUCCACUGGACUAUUAAACGUGGAGUGUCAUUGAAAGACACAUGUCCAUAGCACCAAAGAUUCUUUGAAAGCUGCCAUAGUCAGAGUAAUGUCCAAAAUGAACCAGGACCACUUGAUUCGAGCAUGUAGAUGAUUUAGAUCUCAAAUAGAAGCAAUUGUUGAAGCUGAAGGUAACUUUAUUGAAUAACAUUAUAGAAAAGGUUUAUUUUUAUCUUCAUAGUGGUUUUUGAUAAAUAAAGUUAUUAUCUGAUUUUUUAUAAACAUAAAUCUGUCCUCAAAUAUCUUAUGCACCCUGUAUAUAUUAAUCUGUUUGUCUAUCUGCUUGUCUGUUUGUAUGUCUGUCUGUCUGUAGAUACACACACAGACAAACACACACACACACACAUGCAUGUGUUUGUGUGUGUGAAUGUGUGCAUGUGCAUAUGCAUGCAUAUGUGUGUGUGCAUGUGUAUAUGUGAGUUUGCACGAGUAUGUGUGUGGGUAUGUGUGCAUAUGUGUGUACAUGUGUGUGUGUGUAAGUGUAAGUGUGCACGAGUGCGUGUGCGUGUGUGUGUGCAUGUGUGUGUGUGUGUGUGUGUGUGUGUGUGUGUGUGCAUAGCCGUAGUUAAGAGCAUGCUGCUGGCAUACAACCAGAGAUAAAGCAUUUAAUUUGCUGUAAUCAAGUCUGAGUCUAUUGGACUUUGUUCACAAAUCACAGGCAAACCUAGGUGCAACAUCCAGACUUCUCACGACCAACUAACCGACAAACUCACUGAUAAAUCUAGAUUGCAGGUCACACAUAGAUCUCUUACAUUAUAUUAUGGUUCCUCUCUCUUCUGCCAAAAUGCCUCUGCUUUGAAAUAAAAUCAAAAAUUAAGUUACAAAAGUGACGAGAAAUAUGGUAAAAAUAAAAGCAUGGCUUUCACCAGUAAAUUUCAGUCUUUAGAUUCUGUUUCUUUUUUCUAUUUAUUUAUUUAUUUAUUUAUUUAUUCAUUUAUUUAUUUACUUAUUUUUUACUCAUUUAUGUACAUAUUUAUGUAUAUGUAUGUGUAUGUCUGUGAGUAUAUAUAUGUUUGUUUAUUCAUAUAUCCACACAUAUAUAUAUAUAUACACACACACACACACACACACACACAUAUAUAUAUAUAUGCACACACAUAAGAAUGCUCCAUAUAGCAUCAUCAUCAUCAUCAUUUAACGUCUGUUGUCUAUACUGGCACAGGUUGGAUGGUUUGACUAGGGCUGGAGAGCUGGAAGGCUACACUAGACACCAGUCUGAUUUGGCAUGGCUGCUACAGCUGGAUGCCAUUCCUAGCACCAACCACUCUCAGAGUGGCAAUAUAUAUAUAUAUAUAUAUAUAUAUGUAUGUAUGUAUGUAUGUAUAUAUAUAUAUAUGUAUGUAUGUAUGUAUGUAUGUAUGUAUGUAUGUAUGUAUGUAUGUAUGUAUGUAUGUAUGUAUGUAUGUAUGUAUGUAUGUAUGCGUGUAUGUAUAUAUAUAUAUGUAUAUGUAUUAUAUGUAUAUGUGUAUGUACAUAUUUAUACGUAUAUAUGUAUAUAUAUAUGUGUGUAUGUCAUCAUCAUCAUCAUCAUCAUCAUUUAAUGUCCGUUUUCCAUGCUAGCAUGGGUUGGAUGGUUCGAUUGGUGUUUUGGAAGCCAGGAGGCUGCACCAGGCUCGAGUCUGAUCUGGCAGUGUUUCUACAGCUGGAUGCCCUUCCUAAUGCCAACCACUCCGUGAGUUUAGUGGGUGCUUUUUACGUGCCACUGGUACAAGUAUCACAACUACAAUUUCCAUUUGAUAUUUAUUUUAAUGUUGAUGUACUUGACUCAAUAGGUCUCCUCAAGCACAGCAGGUCACCCUACGAUCCAAGGUAAGCACAGUAGGACAUUCUGCUGCAAUCCAAGGUACUUUGGAUGGGCUGGGGCUAUGCAAAACUGGUGCAGGAAAUAGCCAUGAACUCACAUUAUUUGUCGGGUCUUUGCAGUCACAGCAUAUCUCCAGAGAUCUUGGUCUUUUGUCAUUACCUCUGUGAGGCCCAACGUUUGAAGGUCAUGCUUGACCACCUCAUCCCAUGUCUUCCUGGGUCUACCUCUCCCCCGAAUACCUUCAACUGUUUGGGAGUGGAACUUUUUCACACAUCUCUCCUCAUCCAUCCACAGUUCAUGACCGUACUAGUGCAAACGUCUCUCUUGCACACCACAUCUGAGGCUUCUUAUGUCCAGCAUUUCUCUCAGGGCACUUACACUCUGUCAUGUGUGCACACUGACAUUACACAUCCAGCGGAUCAUACUAGCUUCAUUUCUUUCAAGCCUAUGCAUGUCCUCUGCAGUCACAGCCCAUGUUUCACUGCCUUGAAGCAGGUACUGAGGUACUUUCAGUCCUGUGGGGUGCUUCCUGCCUGUGUCUCACCAGGUGUUAUCACUGUGCACUGCAGCUGUGCUUCCUCUUUUCCACAAAUGGACCUAUCUCAGUGCAUCUUGAUCCCUUUCUCAUUCUUACAGAUCUUUCUGCAGUGACACUCUACUUCCAAUACUUCCCCAACAACUGAUAUUUCAACAGGUGUUGCCACUGAAAACGGCAAUGGAUAAGUGACAAAGGACCGGAAGUGAUAAUUUACUGUACUUAAUAAGCCAUGUCAAACUAAAUAAAAUUGCUGUCAUCGAUACAUACAGGCUUGUCCUUUAAAGGUGCUGAUAAAAUGCACUUGUGUCAGUGACACGUAAAAAGCACCCAACAAACUCUGUAAAGUGGUUGGCAUUAGGAAGGGCAUCCAGCUGUAGAAACUAUGUACAACAGACAACUGGAGUCUGGAAAGCUCCUGGGCUGGUCAGCCCUUGUCAAACCAUCCAACCCAUCCCGGCAUGGAAAACAAACAUUAAACAAUAACAACGAUGACGAUAAUAAUGAUGAUGAUGAUGAUAAUGAUGAUGAUGAUAAAUUUAUGUAUUUUGACCUGAUAGUGUAGACAAUGUGCCUCUCUUGAAUGACCUUCUCAACAGUCUGGUUAUAAUUCAGAAAAAAAUGUAUAUUCAAAUAUAUUAUUAGGUCAUCAAGUAUGAAAUUUGUAGUAAGGUAUAUGGUAAACUUUGACAACUGCUCAUUUUGCACCAUUAUUAUAUUUUGACAAUUUUUACCUUUUGUUAAAAAGCUGACACAUCUAUUUCUUUAUUCUAACUCAUUUUGCACUUUAUAAAGUAUUUAUAAAUCAUUUUUUGUUCUUUUUGUUUACAGAUGGAUAAGUUGGAAAUUCGUACAGUUUUGAAAUAUGAGUUCUUUCUUGGAAAUACAGCAUCACAGACAGCUUGGAAUGUUAAUGGAAUAUUUCAUGCUAAUGUUAUUAUACAGCAGACAGUAUCAAGUUGGUUUGCAAAAUUUUUUUCUGGUAACUUUGACCUCACAAAUGAGCAACGUUGGGUUAGAUCCAUCUUAAAGUGUCCGUGAAUUAUUGUUGUUUGGUGCUAGCAAGCAAACAAUAUUGACUUACCUAGUUCAAAUCGGUAAAGUAAAAAAGUUGGAUAAGUGAGUUCCACAUGAACUCAAUGAAAAUCAGAAAUGGCAACGUUUGGAAGCCUGCAUUAUUCUACUUUCUUAUCGCAAAAAUGAAUCAAUUUUGAAUCAAAUUGUAACAUGUGAUGAGCCACCAAAACUCAGUCCAAAAAGCAAAAUUCAUCAAAAGAAGCUGAUGGCAUGUGUUUGGUGGUCUGGUGCUGGUGUGAUCCAUUAUGAUUUCAUUAAACCUGGCUCAUCAAUCACGUCCGAAAUAUACUGCAGCCAACUGGACCAAAUGAUGCAAAAACUUACAAAAAACAGCCAAGAUUAGUCAAAAGAUCCACUCCUAUUUUAUUGCAAGACAAUGCCAGACCACACAUCGCAAAAAUGACAUUGACGAAACUACAGGAGUUGGAGUUGGAAGUUCUCCAUCAUCCACCAUACUUACCAUAUCUUGCCCCCACUGACUACCACUUCUUCCAGAAUUUGGAUAACUUUUUGAUAGGGAAAAAGUUUAAUUCUGAUGAUGUUGUAAAGCAGGUCUUCCAAGAUUUUAUUGACUCUAGAUUGCCAGGAUUUUACAGUUCCGGGCUGGACAAGCUACCACUGAAAUGGCAAAAGUAUAUUGACAAUAUGGGUGCAUACUUUGAUGAAUAAAUCUAUUCCUUGCAUUUAUGAAACAUUAGCAAACUGUUUCUUUCUUUCCUACAAAUUUCAUACUUGACGACCUAAUAUCAUAAUUAAAAGACAGCAAAGAUGUGAAUUCUGG